rnacentral:rRNA from 1 species
GGCCCACCAAGGCUACGAUCAGUAGGGGUUCUGAGAGGAAGGUCCCCCACAUUGGAACUGAGACACGGUCCAAACUCCUACGGGAGGCAGCAGUGAGGAAUAUUGGUCAAUGGACGAGAGUCUGAACCAGCCAAGUAGCGUGCAGGAUGACGGCCCUAUGGGUUGUAAACUGCUUUUAUAAGGGAAUAAAGUGAGCCUCGUGAGGCUUUUUGCACGUACCUUAUGAAUAAGGACCGGCUAACUCCGUGCCAGCAGCCGCGGUAAUACGGAAGGUCCGGGCGUUAUCCGGAUUUAUUGGGUUUAAAGGGAGCGUAGGCCGGAGAUUAAGCGUGUUGUGAAAUGUAGAUGCUCAACAUCUGCACUGCAGCGCGAACUGGUUUCCUUGAGUACGCACAAAGUGGGCGGAAUUCGUGGUGUAGCGGUGAAAUGCUUAGAUAUCACGAAGAACUCCGAUUGCGAAGGCAGCUCACUGGAGCGCAACUGACGCUGAAGCUCGAAAGUGCGGGUAUCGAACAGGAUUAGAUACCCUGGUAGUCCGCAUGGUAAACGAUGGAUGCCCGCUGUUGGUCCGAAUAGGUCAGCGGCCAAGCGAAAGCAUUAAGCAUCCCACCUGGGGAGUACGCCGGCAACGGUGAAACUCAA